UCACGGUUUGCACUGGCAGUCUUGUUAGAGUUCCCGACUUGACUCGCUGGCAACUAACAACAGGGGUUGCGCUCGUUAUAGGACUUAACCUGACACCUCACGGCACGAGCUGACGACAACCAUGCAGCACCUUGUAAAGUGUCCGAAGAAAAAACCGUUUCCGGUCCUGUCACUCUACAUUUAAGCCUUGGUAAGGUUCCUCGCGUAUCAUCGAAUUAAACCACAUGCUCCACCGCUUGUGCGGGCCCCCGUCAAUUCCUUUGAGUUUCAAACUUGCGUUCGUACUCCCCAGGUGGGAUACUUAAUGCGUUAGCUGCGCUACUAAGAACUCAAGGUUCCCAACGGCUAGUUGACAUCGUUUACGGCGUGGACUAC
rnacentral:misc_RNA from 1 species